AAAGUCUAAAACGACUCUCGGCAAUGGACAUCUUGGCUCUCGCAUCGAUGAAGAACGUAGCGAAAUGCGAUACUUGGUGUGAAUUGCAGAAUCCCGUGAACCAUCGAGUCUUUGAACGCAAGUUGCACCCCAAGCCUUCUGGCCGAGGGCAUGUCUGCCUGGGUGUCACAAAUCGCGUCCCCCCAUCCUCUCGAGGAUAUGGGACGGAAUCUGAUCUCUGUUGGCCAAAAUCAAAGCUAAGGACGCCAAGAGCGUCUUGACAUGCGGUGGUGAAUUCAAUCUCGUCAUAUAGUCAGACGUUCCGGUCCAAAAGGUCUUCAUGACCCAAAGUCAUCUACGCGAUCCCAGGUCAGGCAGGAUCACCCGCUGAGUUUAAGCAUAUCAAUAAGCGGUAGAAAAGAAACUAACAAGGAUUCCCUUAGUAACGGCGAGCGAACCGGGAAGAGCCCAGCUUGAAAAUGAGACGUCUUCGGCGUUUGAAUGGUAGUCUGGAGAAGCGCCCUCAGCGACGGACCGGGCCCAAGUUCCACAGAGAGGGUGAGAGACCCGUCGUGCCCGGACCCUGUCGCACCACGAGGCGCUGUCUACGAUUCGGGUUGUUUGGGAAUGCAGCCCCAAUCGGGCGGUAAAUUCUGUGCAAGGCUAAAUAUGGGCGAGUGACCGAUAGCGAACAAGUACCGCGAGGUAAAGAUGAAAAGGACUUUGAAAAGAGAGUCAAAAAGUUCUUGAAAUUGUCGGGAGGGAAGCGGAUGGGGGCCGCUGAUUUUUCCCAGUCGGAUGUAGAACGGAGCAAUCCGGUCUGUAGAUCGAUUCGGGCCGUGGACCGAUGCGGAUUAAGGUGGUCACCUAAGCCCGGGCUUUUGUUACGCCCGUGGAGACGUUGCUGCCUUAAUCGUGCUCUGCAGCACGCGCCUCAUGGCAUGCCUCGGCAUCUGCGUGCCUAAAAUGAGCUCAACAAGAAAAGAUAUCUCGUGUGGAACAAAAGGGUAAAAGCUCGUUUGAUUCUGAUUUUCAGUAUGAAUACGAACCGUGAAUGUGUGGCCUCUCGAUCCUUUAAACCUUCAGAAUUUGAAGCUAGGGGUGUCAAAAAAGUUACCACAGGGAUAACUGGCUUGUGGCAGCCAAGCGUUCAUAGCGACGUUGCUUUUUGAUCCUUUGAGGUCGGCUCUUCCUAUCAUUGUGAAGCAGAAUUCACCAAGUGUUGGAUUGUUCACCUCCCAAUAGGGAACAUGAGCUGGGUUUAGACCGUCGUGAACCCGCGUAGCAAUAGUAAUUCAACCUAGUAUGAGAGGAACCAUUGAUUCGCACAAUUGGUCAUCGCGCAUGGUUGAAAAGCCAGUGGCGCAAAGCUACCGUGCGCUGGAUUAUGACUGAACGCCUCUAAGUCAGAAUCUGGGCUAGAAGCGACGCAUGCGCCCGCCGCCCGAUUGCCGACCCUCAGUAGGAGUGAUAUACCUUGGAUUUGACCCGUUUUCAUCCAUGGUAAAUAGGUGUUUUACUAUAUAUAUAUCUAUGUUUUCUACUCUUCUAUGUAUGUUUU
rnacentral:rRNA from 1 species